UCCCUACGGGGGGCAGCAGUGGGGAAUAUUGGGCAAUGGGCGCAAGCCUGACCCAGCAACGCCGCGUGAAGGAAGAAGGCUUUCGGGUUGUAAACUUCUUUUCUCAGGGACGAAGAAAGUGACGGUACCUGAGGAAUAAGCCACGGCUAACUACGUGCCAGCAGCCGCGGUAAUACGUAGGAUGCGAGCGUUAUCCGGAUUUAUUGGGUUUAAAGGGUGCGUAGGCGGAUCGUUAAGUCAGUGGUCAAAUUGAGGGGCUCAACCCCUUCCCGCCAUUGAAACUGGCGCUCUUGAGUGGAAGAGAA
rnacentral:rRNA from 1 species